GGGUUGCGGCGCGGUCUUUCCGGUCUCCGCUGCUGUGAGUUUAGAUGGUGCUUGGUUCUCCGGUGGGGCCGGAGUUCGGGCCACGUGGCCACCUACGCCGGGGCAUCGGGCAGAGAAAUGAGACCUCCCUGAGCCCCGGGACGCCCGCGGAGGCAGCGGCCUUCGGCCUGCGUCCCCUUCCUGGGAAACGAGAUGGAGAGCUUGCUUUUAGUGGUCAGGUAGCCUUAAAAGUAAGCGGAGAUGACUUUUCCGUGUAAGCCGGAAAGGCCUCACCGUGUUACUGGCCUUCUGCCUGCCCUACCCCGUUUGAGAUGCCGAGCAUAACGACUGUGUCCUGAUGCAGAGCUUGGCGGAAGUCGAGUAUCGGUGAAAGAUGGAUGAUGCUUGAAGCCAGCUGCUGUUAGCUCAUUGCCACCUGGGAGCACAAAAGUGACUUAGAAGGAUGACCGAGGAUUUGGAAAAUUGUAAUCUUCAAAUUGCUUUGGUCAUACAAUUUCCAGAAGCCUGAGGAGUGCUGAAAUAAUUGCCUGUGGACAACCCAUGAAUGUAAUUUUAAGACAAGAUAUAAAUAAAUACUUUAAUGUGCUUGA